AGCUUACAGCCAUGUUGCAAGAGAUGAAACAAGAGAAUGCAGUACUGCGACGACAAGCCAACCAGCUUCCAGAGAUUAUCUCAGCAUUACAGGAGAUGCGCCAUCAGAAUGCCAUGUUACAUCACGAACUUCAAAGUCUUAAGGCAGAAAAGGAAGCCCCCUCCAGGCCAGUGACUUUACCAGUCCCGUCUCCAAGUCCCUUUACUCCAAUGGUGAGCCCCGAGACCCCACAACGGUUCCGUCCGACUCCAGCCCCACGGACAAAGCCACCAACUCCGCCUACUGCCGUGAGAGACCUGCGCCCAGCUACAGUAGACGAGUACCCUGGAAUGGCCGAGGAUUUUAGUAACAUGGACAUUUCUUCCUCAAUGCCUGAGAGAGUACCACCACCAGUACAUUACAGCGACCCUCUUCAACCCAGGUACUCUCGUUCCCCACAGCACAUUCCAUCCCAUCUGUCAGAGUUCAAGACUCCAGCACAUGAGCGGAUGCUGCCCGCUCACACAGACUACAGACAAGUUUAUUACCAGCCUCCAUCCACACAGGAAAAGAUGUACAGAGGCCCUGCUCCAACUAUCCCCUUUCUGACAGCCCCAGAUCCUAGAGAGUUCUCUAGACUGAGGAUAGCUCUAGAGAACAUUCUACCUGAGGAUGCAACAGAACAGUUCAAAUACCAAAUCCUCACUGACCACCUGAAACUGGAGGAAGCACUCCUUGUGGCGGACUCAUAUAGCAACUCAAGGUUCCCAUUCACAAAUACCAUGAGAGCCCUCAAUAAAAUGUAUGGCCAGCCCCACCAUCUAGCAUUACAGCGCAUUGCCGAAUUAAUGGAUGGUCCAAACAUUUGCAGUGGAGACGUGAAAGCUUUUCGGAUGUUUGGACUCCAGGUGCGCUCCCUGGUUAGUAUGCUGGAACAGCUGGGCCAGAAAGGCAAUGUUGAGCUGGAGUGUGGGUCACAUGUCUCCAGAUUGAUGAGUAAACUGCCACAUGACCUCAGGUCCA
ensembl:lncRNA